UACGUAGGGAGCGAGCGUUAUCCGGAUUUAUUGGGUGUAAAGGGUGCGUAGACGGGAAAGCAAGUUAGUUGUGAAAUCCCUCGGCUCAACCGAGGAACUGCAACUAAAACUACCUUUCUUGAGUGCAGGAGAGGAAAGUGGAAUUCCUAGUGUAGCGGUGAAAUGCGUAGAUAUUAGGAGGAACACCAGUGGCGAAGGCGACUUUCUGGACUGUAACUGACGUUGAGGCACGAAAGUGUGGGGAGCAAACAGGAUUAGAUACCCCUGUAGUCCCUGAGCGGG
rnacentral:rRNA from 1 species